rnacentral:tRNA from 1 species
GUCCUUGUCGAUUAGUGGUUAGAUCAUCACGUUGUGGCUCGCUCUGCAAUCCGUGAAGACCGAGGCUCGAAUCCUCGCUGGGACA